GACACCACUCGCCCGUCUCUCUUUUUCUCCUUUCCUUCUGGACGGGGGAACAAGGGUGGCGAGCGGACUCUGCGUGUUCCGGAGCUCUUCGACGCCUUCGGGUGUSGGGAAGCGCUCCGAGUGCACCGAAUCUCGUGAACGAAACCUCUCUUCUGUCUGUGGCCUUGGUUGCGCAGAGUUGUUGACGGCGCUCGUGCCCUAUCAAAUGGGCCCGGCGACUCUCGGCUCGAUUAACGUGCGGCGAAGUGUCCCUUUUGGGGAGCGGUUCCUGUUUUUCCGGUGGGCGGGCCUAGCGGCGGUCCCUCCGUGUUUUACUACUUUCGUUCG
rnacentral:rRNA from 1 species